rnacentral:lncRNA from 7 species
AGGAAGUAGAGAUCUGUACUUAGGUUUUUUCCUCACAAUUUCAGGGAAUUGGGGGUUGCGUCUUUUCCAGUCAAAAGAAGGCUAGAAAAGGAGAGAUAUGAAUCUUACUCCCUUGGCUGAGCAGACACUGAGACUAAACCUCCCCCUCCCUGUGCAAGUGCUCUGACCACUCAGCUCACAUGCUAAAAUGAGGGUAAAGGUGGCCAUUACUGUCAGUUAGGACUUCUCUUUAAAGCGUAUUUAAAAAUGAAAGCAGCUCUCACUGUGCUUGUGAGUUUGAUCCUUUUAUGUGUUACACAGAAGCUAAGCAUGCUUUAUUGGAUUGAUUUCCUCUGUUGGGCUUAGGUCCAAAGAGAGAACUGGAUCUGAGCUUUCUUCGUGCAGACUUGGUUCACACGACGCACUUGGAAUCACCAAGCCUAGUCUCUACAAAUAAGAAUCACUUGAAAGUCCAGAGGAUUUUUUUAAACACGCACUCCAACACUAAUGGAACGUACGUGGAAAGCAUUAAUAAAUGGCCAUGGCUGAUAGACGUGCAUGCCCUGACACACGCUGCUGAGCUGUGGAGAAGAGGUGCUACCCGCCUCCACCUGGGUCCCACUGGCCCCAGUGGCUACCUGGGAAGUGGAAAGCCGGAGCAUAGUCCUUCUUGAUAUGUGGCCGGACUAGAGGGGAUGCUGAGAUUAAAUUAUAUUUCGGCACUGAAUUCUCCUGUAAGAUGUGUCUGAUCCAGGAAAGCAGCUUGGAUGAAACACUUUUUAGACAGCUCUCUUUUGCCAGAAGUGAUAAUAAUGUCCCUGAAGGACAGUAAUUGAAUUGAUCUUUGCAGGAUCAGCCUCUACAAGGAAAAUACAGAAAUUAAGGGGGCAGAAACAUUCCAACUUGCCACAAGCUUCCCAAAGUUCUGAUAAAGAAGAGAAGAUGGCACCGUGCAGCAGGAUGAGGUACACUUGCAGCCUGAACGCUCAGAGCCAGUGGUACAUUGUGGCAGUGACUGGAGGUAACAGCCUCUCCGGUGCAACUGGGGAAGCCUUGGCCUUGUACUACUUGACUCAUGGAGGUGUAAGCAGGAUGUGUGUACUACUAUAAAACAGAGCUGACAGGAAAGUGGGCUCGGUGUAGAGGAGGCAUCACAUCUGCAUCUGUCAUGACAUGCUCAAAUGAACUGUCAGAUAUUUCAGUGAUACUCUUUGUGUCCCAAGGCAGAGAUGUCCUAGAGCAGUUAUGUCCAAGGCACAGAGAUCUUAAUCUAUUGAAUUCAAUAAAUAAAUUAACCCUGAUUUCAAAGUAUCUUGUAACAUUUGCUAUAUCAACUGGAUAUAUGUAUUCUGUAUUGAGUAAGUAGAAGUAAUUUAAUGAACUGAAAGACAAUAUACUGAGCAAUGUCACUGAUACUCAUGCAUGUUGCUUUAUUUUUAAUAUAUCCCAUGGAAGGGGAUAUAUCUUAAUAUAUCCUGUGGACAGACCUGUAGGUCACUCCUCUCAGUCAUGAAAAAAAUCUGCUGUCUUUGUUUGACCUUGAGCUGCCUGAUGUCUGGGGUCUGACAUCUGGGUGCUUCCCUGAUCUAUUUCCUUGAAUUGAUACUAAAACUCGUAUCAUUAAAGCAUUAUGCCACUGUCUUGGUAGAGAUAGAAUGAGUGGCCUUUAUGCCCUGAAUAGCAAAGCUAUAUAAUUGAAAAAGUAGAUUUUAACUGGUUUUAUGCAUUUAGUGGGUUAAAAGAUGUCUUACCAACAGCUUGGGCGGCCUGUAUGAUAUCUGUGAUAUUGCAUAAGAUUGUCAGUAUCUAUUUGUUUACUCAUAUGAUGUCCACCACUGUACUUAUUUGCUGGCUUACCUCAAUGUUCAGUACUUUAGCUUUUCCUUAAACUAGUGAGAAGAUAAGGUUUCUCUAAUACAAAAUGACAAAAUAAGAAUUCAAAGAGAAACAGUAAAAUGCAAGUCUGCAGUUUGAAUCUCUAUACCAUUGUUGGGACUUAAUAUAGAAAUCCUUCAGACUCUGAGAGUAUGUUCAAUCUCUACAUUUGUAUUUUUCAGGUAUAUCUAUUAAUUUAUGUUCCAUGUAGCAAUAAGUAGGAAUUUUAAUUUAGUCCUUUUUCGUACAUUAAUGUCUUGGAAUAAUAUUAAAAGUUGAAGAAAUUUGACCU